rnacentral:rRNA from 1 species
GCAAGUCGAACGGUAACGGGGGGGGCUUGCUCCCUGCCGACGAGUGGCGGACGGGUGAGUAAUGCAUCGGAACGUGCCCAUGUUGUGGGGGAUAGCUCGGCGAAAGCCGGAUUAAUACCGCAUACGCCCUUCGGGGGAAAGCGGGGGAUCUUCGGACCUCGCGCAAUUGGAGCGGCCGAUGUCGGAUUAGCUUGUAGGUGGGGUAAAGGCCUACCAAGGCAACGAUCUAUAGCUGGUCUGAGAGGACGAUC